UACGGGGGAGCAAGCGUUGUUCGGAUUUACUGGGCGUAAAGGCGCGUAGGCGGCCACCGCAAGUCAGUUGUGAAAUCUCUGGCUUAACCCAGAACGGUCAGCUGAUACUGCGGGCUAGAGUGCAGAAGGGCAACUGGAAUUCUCGGUGUAGCGGUGAAAUGCGUAGAUAUCGAGAGGAACACCUGCGGCGAAGGCGGUUGCUGGCUGACACUGACGCUGACAGCGCGAAAGCUAGGGAGCGAACGGG
rnacentral:rRNA from 1 species